GGCGGGUGCUAAUACAUGCAAGUUGAGCGCUGAAGGUUGGUACUUGUACCGACUGGAUGAGCAGCGAACGGGUGAGUAACGCGUGGGGAAUCUGCCUUUGAGCGGGGGACAACAUUUGGAAACGAAUGCUAAUACCGCAUAAAAACUUUAAACACAAGUUUUAAGUUUGAAAGAUGCAAUUGCAUCACUCAAAGAUGAUCCCGCGUUGUAUUAGCUAGUUGGUGAGGUAAAGGCUCACCAAGGCGAUGAUACAUAGCCGACCUGAGAGGGUGAUCGGCCACAUUGGGACUGAGACACGGCCCAAACUCCUACGGGAGGCAGCAGUAGGGAAUCUUCGGCAAUGGACGAAAGUCUGACCGAGCAACGCCGCGUGAGUGAAGAAGGUUUUCGGAUCGUAAAACUCUGUUGGUAGAGAAGAACGUUGGUGAGAGUGGAAAGCUCAUCAAGUGACGGUAACUACCCAGAAAGGGACGGCUAACUACGUGCCAGCAGCCGCGGUAAUACGUAGGUCCCGAGCGUUGUCCGGAUUUAUUGGGCGUAAAGCGAGCGCAGGUGGUUUAUUAAGUCUGGUGUAAAAGGCAGUGGCUCAACCAUUGUAUGCAUUGGAAACUGGUAGACUUGAGUGCAGGAGAGGAGAGUGGAAUUCCAUGUGUAGCGGUGAAAUGCGUAGAUAUAUGGAGGAACACCGGUGGCGAAAGCGGCUCUCUGGCCUGUAACUGACACUGAGGCUCGAAAGCGUGGGGAGCAAACAGGAUUAGAUACCCUGGUAGUCCACGCCGUAAACGAUGAGUGCUAGAUGUAGGGAGCUAUAAGUUCUCUGUAUCGCAGCUAACGCAAUAAGCACUCCGCCUGGGGAGUACGACCGCAAGGUUGAAACUCAAAGGAAUUGACGGGGGCCCGCACAAGCGGUGGAGCAUGUGUUUAAUUCGAAGCACCGCGAAGAACCUUACCAGGUCUUGACAUACUCGUGCUAUUCUAGAAGAUAGAAGUUCUUCGGGACACGGGAUACAGGUGGUGCAUGUUGUCGUCCAGCUCGUGUCUGGGAAUGUGGGUAAGUCCCGCACGAGCGCCACCCCUAUGUUAGUGCAUACAUAAGUGGCACCUCUCACAGGAACUGCCGG
rnacentral:rRNA from 1 species